AACGCGAAGAACCUUACCUGGACUAGAAUGUGAGGGAAGGGCUUCGAACAGAGUCCGUCCGGGAAACCGGACCCAAAACAAGGUGCUGCAUGGCUGUCGUCAGCUCGUGUCGUGAGAUGUUGGGUUAAGUCCCGCAACGAGCGCAACCCUUAUCAACAGUUGCCAUCAUUAAGUUGGGAACUCUGUUGAGACUGCCGUUGAUAAAACGGAGGAAGGUGGGGAUGAUGUCAAGUCAUCAUGGCCUUUAUGUUCAGGGCUACACACGUGCUACAAUGGCCGGUACAAAACGUCGCAAUCCCGCAAGGGGGAGCUAAUCGCAAAAACCGGUCUCAGUUCGGAUUGAAGUCUGCAACUCGACUUCAUGAAGUUGGAAUCGCUAGUAAUCGCGGAUCAGAACGCCGCGGUGAAUACGUUCCCGGGUCUUGUACACACCGCCCG
rnacentral:rRNA from 1 species